rnacentral:rRNA from 1 species
UGCGGGGCGGUCUUACCAUGCAGUCGAACGAGGUCCAAGCGUUAGCAAUAACGUGGAAGACCUAGUGGCGAACGGGUGAGUAACACGUGAGGAACCUACCCCGGACUCAGGGAUAACAGACGGAAACAUCUGCUAAUACCUGAUACCGUCGGCGCAUCACAUGGUGCACUGACGAAAGAAUCUCGGUUCGGGAGGGUCUCGCGGCCUAUCAGCUAGUUGGUGGGGUAACGGCCUACCAAGGCAUCGACGGGUAGCUGGUCUGAGAGGAUGAUCAGCCACACUGGGACUGAGACACGGCCCAGACUCCUACGGGAGGCAGCAGUGGGGAAUCUUGCGCAAUGGGCGAAAGCCUGACGCAGCAACGCCGCGUGCGGGAAGAAGGCCUUAGGGUUGUAAACCGCUUUCAGUAGGAACGAAAAUGACGGUACCUGCAGAAGAAGGUGCGGCCGACUACGUGCCAGCAGCCGCGGUGACACGUAGGCACCAAGCGUUGUCCGGAUUUAUUGGGCGUAAAGAGCUCGUAGGCGGUUCAGUAAGUCGGGUGUGAAAACUCUGGGCUUAACCCAGAGCCGCCACUCGAUACUGCUGUGACUUGAGUUCGGUAGGGGAGCAGGGAAUUCCUAGUGUAGCGGUGAAAUGCGCAGAUAUUAGGAGGAACACCGGUGGCGAAGGCGCUGCUCUGGGCCGAUACUGACGCUGAGGAGCGAAAGCGUGGGUAGCAAACAGGAUUAGAUACCCUGGUAGUCCACGCCGUAAACGUUGGGCACUAGGUGUGGGUUCCAACCAACGGAAUCCGCGCCGUCGCUAACGCAUUAAGUGCCCCGCCUGGGGAGUACGGCGGCACGCUAAACUCAAAGGAAUUGACGG